rnacentral:misc_RNA from 1 species
GAUGAAGAACGUAGCGAAAUGCGAUAAGUAAUGUGAAUUGCAGAAUUCAGUGAAUCAUCGAAUCUUUGAACGCACCUUGCGCUCCUUGGUAUUCCUUGGAGCAUGUCUGUUUGAGUAUCAUGAGCAAAUCUCAAAGUCGAUCCUUUUGUUAAUUCAAUUGGUUUGCUUUGGACUUGGAGGCCUUGCAGAUUUCACCGUCUGCUCCUCUUAAAUGCAUUAGCUGGAUCUCAGUAUUAUGCUUGGUUCCACUCGGCGUGAUAAGUAUCACUCGCUGAGGACACUGUAAAAGGUGGCCAGGAAAAUACUGAUCGAACCGCUUCUAACGGUCUAUUAACUUAGACAAUUACCCUUAAGUUUGAUCUCAAAUCAGGUAGGACUACCCGCUGAACUUAAGCAUAUCAAUAAGCGGAGGA